rnacentral:rRNA from 1 species
UACAGAGGGCCCGAGCGUUGUUCGGAUUCAUUGGGCGUAAAGGGCGCGUAGGCGGCGUGGCAAGUCUGAUGUGAAAUCCUGGGGCUCAACCUCAGAACUGCAUUGGAUACUGCCUUGCUUGAGUACUGGAGAGGGAACUGGAAUUUACGGUGUAGCAGUGAAAUGCGUAGAGAUCGUAAGGAAGGCCGGUGGCGAAGGCGAGUUCCUGGACAGUGACUGACGCUGAGGAACGAAGGCCAGGGGAGCAAACGGG